rnacentral:misc_RNA from 1 species
CCCCGUUUCCUUGUCUGUUCCCUUCCCGAGUUUCCACACUCCAAUCCUCGCUGUUGAGAAAAGUUGUUUUGGCUCACAAUGGUUGGCUCGGAGACCAGCUGGCAGAAUCGAUCCCUCCCUUGAAAACAUCAUUUAUUUUACAUCUAGUGAUACCCAGACACCACCACCGCCAUGCCUCGGUUGGGACUCGGCUACGACAUGGACCAGUUUUUGGACCAUUGCCGUAUGACCAAGCCACCCUAUGAGUGUCCGCACGCCUCCUGUGGCAAGGUGUACCGCAGCCUUGCCGGCAUUCAGCACCACAUGACCACUUUUGAUCAUGAGAACCCACCCCCAAGUGUGGUCACUCCGAAGUCUGCACGCAAGAAGAACAUGAAGCGACCCCCUUCCCCGCUAGCCAACCAGGAGCCAGAGCCACCCUCGGUGCCAUACUCCCACGACAUGAAGACGGUUGAGUUUGAGGUGGACGGCAAGCUGACCCGACUCUCUGUGUAUGAUCCAAUAGAGAUUUUGUCCAAGCAGGACAACAUAACCAGCGUGCCACCACACCCGCAGGAAGACUAUGAGGCCUCCAUGCCCCCUGUGGUGGAGGAGCCGCCUCCUCAGGAACAGGCACGCACCCCCUCCAUCAAGCCCCUCCCCAAGACACCCUCUGGAAAGACUCCCCCAGCAACCAAAACCCAGCCCACUAAAACCCAGCCAGCUAAGACACAACCAGCCAAAGCACAACCAGCUAAAACACAGCCUGCUAAAGCCCAGCCUGCCAAGACCCAGCCCACAAAAGCUCCUGCUAAGACCACUGCUGCCACCACCAUCACCACCAGUACUACUACAUCCUCUUCCUCCACAUCCUCCUUGUCUUCCUCCUCAUCCUCUUCCAUGUCUUCCACCUCCUCUACUGCUUCUAAUUCCUCCACCACCUCGUCCUCCUCAUCGUCUGCUUCACCCAGCACUCCCCUCCCCAAGACUCAUGCACAGAAGACGCCUAAGGCCAGAGCCAGUGACAAGGAUCGAGGUGUGGACGUGCAGCGCUACACCAUAGAGGAGAAGAAGACCAACAAGCUCCCUGAGGCAUCCUUCAGGAUCAUUGAAGACUAUUACAAAAGUCUUCCUGAUGCACCGCCACAACCCUCCAAUUAUCACAGGUUCAUUGAGAAGAGCCUGGAGGAGCUGGAUGAGGAGGUGGAGUACGAUAUGGAUGAGGAAGACCGUGCGUGGCUGCAACUCAUGAAUGAGAAGCGGUCAGUGGACGGACUCCCAGCGGUGGAGAUGGAGAAUUUUGAGCUGCUCAUGGACCGGCUGGAGAAAGAGUCGUUCUUCCAGGCACAGUGUUCAGGCCGUGACUCUGGUGUGCCGAUUGACGAAGAUGCCGUAUGCUGCAUCUGUAUGGACGGCGAGUGUCAGAACAGCAACGUGAUCCUCUUCUGUGAUAUGUGCAACCUGGCUGUGCAUCAGGAGUGCUACGGAGUGCCAUACAUCCCUGAGGGGCAGUGGCUGUGUCGCCGGUGCCUGCAGUCCCCCUCUCGAGCUGUGGACUGUGCCCUAUGUCCCAAUAAAGGAGGCGCCUUCAAGCAGACUGAUGACAGUCGCUGGGCCCAUGUUGUUUGUGCUAUGUGGAUACCUGAAGUGUGCUUUGCUAACACUGUCUUCCUGGAGCCCAUUGACAGCAUUGGUAACAUUCCCUCUGCCCGCUGGAAACUGACCUGCUACAUCUGCAAGCAGCGUGGAGUGGGUGCCUGCAUCCAGUGUAACAAGGUCAACUGCUACACUGCCUUCCAUGUGACAUGUGCCCAGCAGGCCGGCUUGCACAUGAAAAUUGAUGCCAUGAGGGAAACCAAUGUCAAUGGAACCUCAGUCACAGUGCGGAAAGCUGCCUAUUGUGACAUGCACACGCCAGCCGACUCAGAUGCGCGUCCCCAGCUUGACGAGAUCAUGGACUCGGCAAAGAAGGCGGCGGCCAAGGCAGCGUCCAGGCAGAAGAUGAAGAAGGCACGCAAGAUCCUGGCUGAGAAGCGUUCAGCAGCGCCCAUUGUGUCCGUGCCAACCAUACCAGCUGACCGUCUCACCCCCUCCCUCUAUUCUGGUGUUGUCAACUCUGUUCCCGUCAUACCCUGUGAAAAUAUUCAGAAAUUGGCCGCCCUGGUCAACAUGCAGAAGCGCUCCCAAUUCAUGCACCGCUUGCUGGCCUACUGGACCCUCAAGCGACAGUCCCGCAAUGGUGUGCCACUGCUACGCCGCCUCACCACCUCACACGCCCGCCGCAGCAACACCACCUCGCGCCCUGUUGAGGAGAAGCCUGUUGGUGUGAAGGAUAAGGAGAGGGUAAUGAAUGAGGCAGAGGGUCUGAGGGAGGAGAUCAAGUACUGGCAGCGACUGCGACAGGACCUGGAGAGGGCUCGGCUGUUGUGUGAGCUGAUUAGGAAGAGGGAGAAGACCAAGAGGGAGCUGGUCAAGGCGAAAGCAGAGGAGAAGAAGGUGCAGCUGGCUCCCUUCGUCCACCUACUGCUGCAAACUAUUGAUCAAAUCCAGGAGAAAGACCAGCAGAUGAUCUUCGCUGAGCCUGUUGACUUGGUGGAGGUGCAUGACUACCUGGACGUGGUGAAGCACCCGAUGGACCUCUCCACCAUGCGGCAGAAGGCUCAGACACAUCAGUAUAUGGACGUAGACCAGUUUGCUAGUGACUUUGAACUCAUGAUUGAGAAUUGCCUGGUCUACAAUGCCAAGGAGACCAUCUUCUAUCGGACGGCUGUCAAGCUGCGUGAUCAGGGAGGUGCCAUCAUCCGCCAGCUAAGGAGAAAUGUGGAGGUCAUUGGAUUUGAUAUGGAGACUGGCCUCCUCCUUCCCCACCGUCCCAAGCCACUCCCAGAGAUAUCGGAUAACAAGAUUAUUAAGGAAGUGGAUGAGGCGCUGGCGGCAGAUGCAGACGAGUGCUGGAGCCUGGAAGAGCGAGAGAAGGCUCUGCUGGAGCUCCUGGACAAAGCCAAUCUUCUGAGACACCAUGUGGCACGCAUCAAGAGGGUGAAGCUCAUCAGGCGUGAGAUUGGCAUUGUGCGGAGGAAGCUGGCACUGAGCCAGUCUGGGAGUGCAAGUCAGAAAUCAAAUGCUGUGUACUACGACACAGAUGAUGAGUCAGAGAAGGAGGAUUCAGACAUUGAUGACAGUUCGGUGAUUGAUGACGAGGCUGAACCUGGUGAGCCAAGCCGACCAAGUACCCCACCUGCCCUGGCCUCUCAGCUGGCUGCCUCGCACCUGGCCCACACCACUAGCCUCUCCUCCGGGCCUGGUAGAGUGGGUGGCAUAGCUCUCUCUCCCAUGACCACACCCUCCCCACGCAGCCUCCACCAACGCAAGACUAGCAAGAACACUCCUAAGGAUGACCACACUCAGAAGCGCAUUGACUCCUUCUUCACUCGGAUAAACAAACCAUCACAGAAGAGCAUCCAGGAGCCGCAGCCACAGCAGCAGGAGAGCAGUGUUGCCGCAGUGGCUGAUGAGGCCAAGGCCACCAAACCUGAAGACUCAGCUCAUGAAACACCCAAAAAGCGUGGCCCUGGUCGACCCCCGAAGAGACCACGCACCCUCUCUGGCCCAUGUGCAAGCCCCCCAGCAAAGAAAUUGGAAAGUGAAGCAGGUGAUGCAGCGACCCAGGCCAAGGAGAGCAGUGAGGAUGCCCCAGAAUCAGAGCCGCCCUCAGUGCCCAGCUCACCAUCAGGAGUGAACCGACGCACCUCCGUCCUCUUCACAAAGAAGGCUGGUGCACUGUUCAAGAAGCGCUUCCCUCAGCAGCGUCGUGGUUCUGGAGGCACCAACAGUGACGAGGAGAACCAACUUCUCGAGACCAAGACAGCACGCCGUAAGAAGAUGCCAUGGCCAGACAUGCAGCAACAUUCCACAGCAUGAAGAUGAAUUUAAUGACAUAGACAAUGAAAGUAGUGCUCUCCUAGACAUACACAAACUUCCAGAGCCGACUCCCUUGGCUUCCCCGAAGGACUACCACUCCUUAACCUCUCAGAUAGUGGAACACCUCCUACCAAAGACUCCUUCAAGAUGUACCGCCAGGGAGGAG